GCUUCUGGAAGGUUUUGGACGGAACAUCCGACCUCAAGAGUGCCAUGGCAACAAAUUGACGUAUAUGAUAAUGAGGUGAAAUCAUAAAUACACUAACCUAUAGAAAAUGGACACCUUAACAUUGUACCUACAGACCAACUUUAUGAGGAUAUAAGCCUACCCUAUGCUUAUAACAACCAAAACAGCUUGUUGACAAAACAGACCAAGAUCAGCCGUGCUACUCCAAGAAACUAUAAUAAAGGGAAGGAGGGCUUCUUUGGAGACAAUG